GAUGAACGCUGGCGGCGUGCCUAACACAUGCAAGUCGAACGAGAUGCGUAUUGGAAAGCUUCGGCCGGAAGAUACGUUAUCUAGUGGCGGACGGGUGAGUAACACGUGGGUAACCUGCCUUAUGGAGGGGGAUAACAGAGAGAAAUCACUGCUAAUACCGCAUAAGCACACAUUGCCGCAUGGCGGAGUGUGAAAAGAUUUAUCGCCAUAAGAUGGACCCGCGUCUGAUUAGCCAGUUGGCAGGGUAAAAGCCUACCAAAGCAACGAUCAGUAGCCGAUCUGAGAGGAUGACCGGCCACAUUGGGACUGAGACACGGCCCAAACUCCUACGGGAGGCAGCAGUGGGGAAUAUUGCACAAUGGGGGAAACCCUGAUGCAGCGACGCCGCGUGAGUGAAGAAGUAUUUCGGUAUGUAAAGCUCUAUCAGCAGGGAAGAUAAUGACAGUACCUGACUAAGAAGCCCCGGCUAACUACGUGCCAGCAGCCGCGGUAAUACGUAGGGGGCAAGCGUUAUCCGGAUUUACUGGGUGUAAAGGGAGCGUAGACGGAGUGGCAAGUCUGAAGUGAAAACCCUGGGCUUAACCUGGGGACUGCUUUGGAAACUGUUAAUCUAGAGUGUUGGAGAGGUAAGUGGAAUUCCUGGUGUAGCGGUGAAAUGCGUAGAUAUCAGGAAGAACACCGGAGGCGAAGGCGGCUUACUGGACAAUAACUGACGUUGAGGCUCGAAAGCGUGGGGAUCAAACAGG
rnacentral:rRNA from 1 species